UACAGAGGUCUCAAGCGUUGUUCGGAUUCAUUGGGCGUAAAGGGUGCGUAGGCGGCGCGGUAAGUCGGGUGUGAAAUCUCGGAGCUUAACUCCGAAACUGCAUUCGAUACUGCCGUGCUUGAGGACUGGAGAGGAGACUGGAAUUUACGGUGUAGCGGUGAAAUGCGUAGAUAUCGUAAGGAAGGCCAGUGGCGAAGGCGGGUCUUUGGACAGUUCCUGACGCUGAGGCACGAAGGUCAGGGGAGCAAACGGG
rnacentral:rRNA from 1 species